AACGAACGCUGGCGGCAUGCCUAACACAUGCAAGUCGAACGAGACCUUCGGGUCUAGUUGCGUACGGGUGCUUAACGCGUGGGAACCUGCGCUUAGGUUCGGAAUAACUCCCCGGAAGGGAUGCUAAUACCGGAUAAUGUCUUCCGACCAAAGAUUUAUCGCCUGUGGAGGGGCCCGCGUUGGAUUAGCUAGUGGUUAGGGUAAAAGCCUCCCAAGGCUACGAUCCAUAGCUGGUCUGAGAGGAUGAUCAGCCACACUGGAACUGAGACACGGCCCAGACUCCUCCGGGAGGCAGCAGUGGGGAAUAUUGGACAAUGGGCGAACGCCUGAGCCAGCAAUGCCGCGUGAGUGAUGAAGGCUUUAGGGUUGUAAAGCUCUUUUACCCGGGAUGUUAAUGACAGUACCGGCAGAAUAAGCACCGGCUACUUCCGU
rnacentral:rRNA from 1 species